rnacentral:rRNA from 1 species
UUGAAGAGUUUGAUCAUGGCUCAGAUUGAACGCUGGCGGCAGGCCUAACACAUGCAAGUCGAGCGGUAGCACAGAGAGCUUGCUCUCGGGUGACGAGCGGCGGACGGGUGAGUAAUGUCUGGGAAACUGCCUGAUGGAGGGGGAUAACUACUGGAAACGGUAGCUAAUACCGCAUAAUGUCGCAAGACCAAAGUGGGGGACCUUCGGGCCUCAUGCCAUCAGAUGUGCCCAGAUGGGAUUAGCUAGUAGGUGGGGUAACGGCUCACCUAGGCGACGAUCCCUAGCUGGUCUGAGAGGAUGACCAGCCACACUGGAACUGAGACACGGUCCAGACUCCUACGGGAGGCAGCAGUGGGGAAUAUUGCACAAUGGGCGCAAGCCUGAUGCAGCCAUGCCGCGUGUGUGAAGAAGGCCUUCGGGUUGUAAAGCACUUUCAGCGGGGAGGAAGGCGAUAAGGUUAAUAACCUCAUCGAUUGACGUUACCCGCAGAAGAAGCACCGGCUAACUCCGUGCCAGCAGCCGCGGUAAUACGGAGGGUGCAAGCGUUAAUCGGAAUUACUGGGCGUAAAGCGCACGCAGGCGGUCUGUCAAGUCGGAUGUGAAAUCCCCGGGCUCAACCUGGGAACUGCAUUCGAAACUGGCAGGCUAGAGUCUUGUAGAGGGGGGUAGAAUUCCAGGUGUAGCGGUGAAAUGCGUAGAGAUCUGGAGGAAUACCGGUGGCGAAGGCGGCCCCCUGGACAAAGACUGACGCUCAGGUGCGAAAGCGUGGGGAGCAAACAGGAUUAGAUACCCUGGUAGUCCACGCCGUAAACGAUGUCGAUUUGGAGGUUGUGCCCUUGAGGCGUGGCUUCCGGAGCUAACGCGUUAAAUCGACCGCCUGGGGAGUACGGCCGCAAGGUUAAAACUCAAAUGAAUUGACGGGGGCCCGCACAAGCGGUGGAGCAUGUGGUUUAAUUCGAUGCAACGCGAAGAACCUUACCUUGGUCUUGACAUCCACAGAACUUUCCAGAGAUGGAUUGGUGCCUUCGGGAACUGUGAGACAGGUGCUGCAUGGCUGUCGUCAGCUCGUGUUGUGAAAUGUUGGGUUAAGUCCCGCAACGAGCGCAACCCUUAUCCUUUGUUGCCAGCGGUCCGGCCGGGAACUCAAAGGAGACUGCCAGUGAUAAACUGGAGGAAGGUGGGGAUGACGUCAAGUCAUCAUGGCCCUUACGACCAGGGCUACACACGUGCUACAAUGGCAUAUACAAAGAGAAGCGACCUCGCGAGAGCAAGCGGACCUCAUAAAGUAUGUCGUAGUCCGGAUUGGAGUCUGCAACUCGACUCCAUGAAGUCGGAAUCGCUAGUAAUCGUAGAUCAGAAUGCUACGGUGAAUACGUUCCCGGGCCUUGUACACACCGCCCGUCACACCAUGGGAGUGGGUUGCAAAAGAAGUAGGUAGCUUAACCUUCGGGAGGGCGCUUACCACUUUGUGAUUCAUGACUGGGGUGAAGUCGUAACAAGGUAACCGUAGGGGAACCUGCGGUUGGAUCACCUCCUU